AGAGUUUGAUCAUGGCUCAGAUUGAACGCUGGCGGCAGGCUUAACACAUGCAAGUCGAGCGGAGAUGAGGUGCUUGCACCUUAUCUUAGCGGCGGACGGGUGAGUAAUGCUUAGGAAUCUGCCUAUUAGUGGGGGACAACAUUCCGAAAGGAAUGCUAAUACCGCAUACGUCCUACGGGAGAAAGCAGGGGAUCUUCGGACCUUGCGCUAAUAGAUGAGCCUAAGUCGGAUUAGCUAGUUGGUGGGGUAAAGGCCUACCAAGGCGACGAUCUGUAGCGGGUCUGAGAGGAUGAUCCGCCACACUGGGACUGAGACACGGCCCAGACUCCUACGGGAGGCAGCAGUGGGGAAUAUUGGACAAUGGGGGGAACCCUGAUCCAGCCAUGGCCGCGUGUGUGAAGAAGGCCUUAUGGUUGUAAAGCACUUUAAGCGAGGAGGAGGCUACUGAGACUAAUACUCUUGGAUAGUGGACGUUACUCGCAGAAUAAGCACCGGCUAACUCUGUGCCAGCAGCCGCGGUAAUACAGAGGGUGCGAGCGUUAAUCGGAUUUACUGGGCGUAAAGCGUGCGUAGGCGGCUUUUUAAGUCGGAUGUGAAAUCCCCGAGCUUAACUUGGGAAUUGCAUUCGAUACUGGGAAGCUAGAGUAUGGGAGAGGAUGGUAGAAUUCCAGGUGUAGCGGUGAAAUGCGUAGAGAUCUGGAGGAAUACCGAUGGCGAAGGCAGCCAUCUGGCCUAAUACUGACGCUGAGGUACGAAAGCAUGGGGAGCAAACAGGAUUAGAUACCCUGGUAGUCCAUGCCGU
rnacentral:rRNA from 1 species